rnacentral:rRNA from 1 species
ACUUUAAUUGAAGAGUUUGAUCAUGGCUCAGAUUGAACGCUGGCGGCAGGCCUAACACAUGCAAGUCGAGCGGUAACAGAUUGAUAGCUUGCUAUCAAUGCUGACGAGCGGCGGACGGGUGAGUAAUGCCUGGGAAUAUACCCUGAUGUGGGGGAUAACUAUUGGAAACGAUAGCUAAUACCGCAUAAUCUCUUGGGAGCAAAGAGGGGGACCUUCGGGCCUCUCGCGUCAGGAUUAGCCCAGGUGGGAUUAGCUAGUUGGUGGGGUAAUGGCUCACCAAGGCGACGAUCCCUAGCUGGUCUGAGAGGAUGAUCAGCCACAC